AUGCACAAGCAGUAUUCCCGCUUAGUACAAGUGAAGGCUAGAAAAAGACUGGGAAGCGACCAACUAGAGAGCGACAACAGUCAUGAACAUGCAUUAAAAUUAAUCAACAAUGAGUGCAAGCAUGAGGAGGAUAUAAUUCACCAUGAACAUAAAUAUCGUGGAGGCUAUGUUGAUUUUGUUUCAACUACAUGUGCGAACAUGUGCCAAGUCAAGCCACUCGAAUCGUUCAAAGGAGGAUACCAUCCUAUCAUACCACAUCACAACCAUUUUAAUAGCAUGUUGGCACACAAGGUAAACCAUUAUAAACUCCUAGCUAAUUAA
rnacentral:rRNA from 1 species